rnacentral:tRNA from 1 species
GCUGGUGUGGCGGAAUAGGCAGACGCAAGGGACUUAAAAUCCCUCGAUGUAACAGUCGUAUCGGUUCAAGUCCGAUCACAAGCACCA